AAAUCGUACCCCAAACCGACACAGGUGGUCAGGUAGAGAAUACCAAGGCGCUUGAGAGAACUCGGGUGAAGGAACUAGGCAAAAUGGUGCCGUAACUUCGGGAGAAGGCACGCUGAUAUGUAGGUGAAGUGAUUUACUCAUGGAGCUGAAAUCAGUCGAAGAUACCAGCUGGCUGCAACUGUUUAUUAAAAACACAGCACUGUGCAAACACGAAAGUGGACGUAUACGGUGUGACGCCUGCCCGGUGCCGGAAGGUUAAUUGAUGGGGUUAUCCGUAAGGAGAAGCUCUUGAUCGAAGCCCCGGUAAACGGCGGCCGUAACUAUAACGGUCCUAAGGUAGCGAAAUUCCUUGUCGGGUAAGUUCCGACCUGCACGAAUGGCGUAAUGAUGGCCAGGCUGUCUCCACCCGAGACUCAGUGAAAUUGAACUCGCUGUGAAGAUGCAGUGUACCCGCGGCAAGACGGAAAGACCCCGUGAACCUUUACUAUAGCUUGACACUGAACACUGAGCCUUGAUGUGUAGGAUAGGUGGGAGGCUUUGAAGCGUGGACGCCAGUCUGCGUGGAGCCAACCUUGAAAUACCACCCUUUAAUGGCUGGUGUUCUAACGUAGACCCGUAAUCCGGGUUGCGGACAGUGUCUGGUGGGUAGUUUGACUGGGGCGGUCUCCUCCUAAAGAGUAACGGAGGAGCACGAAGGUUAGCUAAUCCUGGUCGGACAUCAGGAGGUUAGUGCAAAGGCAUAAGCUAGCUUGACUGCGAGAGUGACGGCUCGAGCAGGUGCGAAAGCAGGUCUUAGUGAUCCGGUGGUUCUGAAUGGAAGGGCCAUCGCUCAACGGAUAAAAGGUACUCCGGGGAUAACAGGCUGAUACCGCCCAAGAGUUCAUAUCGACGGCGGUGUUUGGCACCUCGAUGUCGGCUCAUCACAUCCUGGGGCUGAAGUAGGUCCCAAGGGUAUGGCUGUUCGCCAUUUAAAGUGGUACGCGAGCUGGGUUUAGAACGUCGUGAGACAGUUCGGUCCCUAUCUGCCGUGGGCGCUGGAGAAUUGAGGGGGGCUGCUCCUAGUACGAGAGGACCGGAGUGGACGCAUCACUGGUGUUCGGGUUGUCAUGCCAAUGGCAUUGCCCGGUAGCUAAAUGCGGAAAAGAUAAGUGCUGAAAGCAUCUAAGCACGAAACUUGCCCCGAGAUGAGUUCUCCCUGAGACUAUAAGUCUCCUGAAGGAACGUUAAAGACUAUGACGUUGAUAGGUCGGGUGUGUAAGUGUAGCGAUACAUUGAGCUAACCGAUACUAAUGAACCGUGAGGCUUAACCUU
rnacentral:rRNA from 1 species